rnacentral:rRNA from 1 species
AGCAGCCGCGGUAAUUCCAGCUCCAAUAGCGUAUAUUAAAGUUGUUGCAGUUAAAAAGCUCGUAGUUGAAUUUCGGGAUCAGAUUGUCGGUCGUGCCUCGGUACGCACUGGCAUUAUUGGUUUCUCCCUUCUGACGAACCAUGAUGUCAUUCAUUUGGUGUCGUGGGGAAUCAGGACUGUUACUUUGAAAAAAUUAGAGUGUUUAAAGCAGGCUCACGCUUGAAUACAUUAGCAUGGAAUAAUGAAAUAGGACGUUUGAUUCUAUUUUGUUGGUUUCUAGGAUCGACGUAAUGAUUAAUAGGGAUAGUUGGGGGCAUUAGUAUUCAAUUGUCAGAGGUGAAAUUCUUGGAUUUAUUGAAGACUAACUACUGCGAAAGCGUUUGCCAAGGAUGUUUUCAUUAAUCAAGAACGAAAGUUAGGGGAUCGGAGACGAUCAGAUACCGUCGUAGUCUUAACCAUAAACUAUGCCGACUAGGGAUCGGAUGAUGU